rnacentral:tRNA from 1 species
GGCGUCGUAGUUCAGUUGGCUAGAGCUUUGGCUGUACUAAAGCCUUCCCUUUGCUGGCAUGGGUUUGAAUCCCUCCGAUGCCG